UCCCAGCAGCAUUAUCAGAGUAGUGUGAAUCCUGCCAUGAGCCUCCUUUCUAAUUGCUAAGCUGGCAUCUCAAGGCAGCAGAAAAGUGAGCUUCUGUCCUUCAGAGGGCACUUGCUCCAUGUGACCGGUGACACAUCAGCUGUGACACGCGGAAUUCUUUUAAAUGUCAUGGGUCUUGGCAGCUUUCAGUAAUGUUUAAAUUACAUACAAAUUCACCCCUGCUGCUCCCUGGAUUGAUCUCCCGUGAGGCUGGAAGUACUGAAGGUUGGAGGAUAGAAGAGAAAUCGGUGUCUGUACCUCUUGUAACUGUUUUCAUCAUCUGAGUAUUCCAGUGUCCUUCAGCAGAUCUGUGAACCUGCAGCACCUAGGAGGGGAGUAGAUGGGAUUGCAGUCUGAAGAGGACAGUAAAGCAAUCGGAACAAGAUGAAAGCAGGAUCAAGGAAAAAAAGUUGCAGCGGCAAAAUCCAAAGAAUGGAGGAGACCUGCCCACUGGGGUAAGACACCAGUGACAACCUAGGAGAAUUCACAAUGGAAUCCAAACAGAAUUUCCCAUGGUGAGUCCUGACUUGUUUUCUUCCUGGGACUUGUCUAACUUGGUGUGUAUGAAGCUCAUUCGCACUUAGCAAGAAUCCUUGCAGAAGAAGUUAAUAGAGAGUCUGGUUUUAAUAUAAAUGCCACAAUCAACUGCCGGUUUCUGUUGCUUACCUUGGGGGCCACAUGUACAGCACAAGAAUGAAGCUGAGGGGCAAGGGAAGGGCUUCACCUUUCUCCAUGCUAACAACCUCCUGGCCUAGCAGCCAGGUGCCACAUGCGCUGAAAGACGUAACCAGCUCUUAAUUAGCCUGAGAGAAGUGAGGGGUUGGGGUGGAUUCGCCUAGCAGCCAUAUUGCUGAUGCAAGAUAAAAUAUUUUUACAGCUUCUAUGCAGUUCCUUCCUCUCCAUAUUAUAAGUAAGUAAGUCAUACAAUGCUGCAUUCAAAUGGUAAUUAUUAAAUGGAAGAAUAAACCUUUAUGAGUUUAAAUUAUUUGAGCGGGAGGAACAAAGAAAGAAGUACUCGGAGAACAGAAACUGGAGUGAAUUUCAGUGGUUGUGCACUAUAAGAUGUGGAGCUAAAUAAUUCUGUUGUACAAGCAAUAAGAUUUGGCUGCUACUGACAGUUACUGUACAGGAAAAUA